rnacentral:rRNA from 1 species
GACGAACGCUGGCGGCGUGCUUAACACAUGCAAGUCGAACGGAAAGGCCCUGCUUUUGUGGGGUGCUCGAGUGGCGAACGGGUGAGUAACACGUGAGUAACCUGCCCAUGACUUUGGGAUAACUUCAGGAAACCGGGGCCAAUACCGGAUAGGAGCUCCUGCUGCAUGGUGGGGGUUGGAAAGGUUCGGCGGUUGGGGAUGGACUCGCGGCUUAUCAGCUUGUUGGUGGGGUAGUGGCUUACCAAGGCUUUGACGGGUAGUCGGCCUGAGAGGGUGACCGGCCACAUUGGGACUGAGAUACGGCCCAGACUCCUACGGGAGGCAGCAGUAGGGAAUAUUGCACAAUGGGCGGAAGCCUGAUGCAGCAACGCCGCGUGCGGGAUGACGGCCUUCGGGUUGUAAACCGCUUUCGCCUGUGACGAAGCGUGAGUGACGGUAAUGGGUAAAGAAGCACCGGCUAACUACGUG